AGGAGGAACAGCCUCAGUGGCGGGGCAGCUCUGGAAACCUGGAUUCAGCUCCCGCAGGAACUCCGGAGCUCUCCGUCUGCAGGGCCUGGAGGCUCCGGGGCGGG
rfam:Canis lupus familiaris chromosome 11, whole genome shotgun sequence.